UUUUUACACACUACUUGGUCAUUUUUACUCUCUCAUCAACCUUCUUACCUUUCUCCUCCUUCCCCAAAUUUCCCAAUCCUUAUCUACCAUAUCCAUCCUGACCCCACACCCUUUCCCAUUCAACGGCCCAGAUCUCCUCGUUGGAUUGUGCUAGGGUUUACGUUUACCCUAAUUCGCCCCCCUUUUAUACUCUCUCGCUUCUCUCAAUUUCACUCCUUUCCUCACCGCAGUGCUCUUGCUCUGCUUCCUCUUCCGUCGUCGUCAUCUAUUUCUCGAUAUUUAUUUUAUUUUUAUAUUUUAUUUUGUAUCUUUUUUAUCGCAUCUCUCCAUUCCCUUCCCUCUCCUCGUUUUCCCCAAAUCAAAAUCAAAAAAAUUAUUAUUUAUUGUUACAUCUGUUUUUUUUUUCUUUUUUCUGUUCUUCCUAGGUUUUAUUGUUAUCAAUAA